GUCGAGCGGUAGAGAGAAGCUUGCUUCUCUUGAGAGCGGCGGACGGGUGAGUAAUGCCUAGGAAUCUGCCUGGUAGUGGGGGAUAACGUUCGGAAACGAACGCUAAUACCGCAUACGUCCUACGGGAGAAAGCAGGGGACCUUCGGGCCUUGCGCUAUCAGAUGAGCCUAGGUCGGAUUAGCUAGUUGGUGAGGUAAUGGCUCACCAAGGCGACGAUCCGUAACUGGUCUGAGAGGAUGAUCAGUCACACUGGAACUGAGACACGGUCCAGACUCCUACGGGAGGCAGCAGUGGGGAAUAUUGGACAAUGGGCGAAAGCCUGAUCCAGCCAUGCCGCGUGUGUGAAGAAGGUCUUCGGAUUGUAAAGCACUUUAAGUUGGGAGGAAGGGCAUUUACCUAAUACUUGAUUGUUUUGACGUUACCGACCGAAUAAGCCCCGGCUAAUUCUGUGCCAUCAGCCGCGGUAAUACACAGGGUGCGAUC
rnacentral:rRNA from 1 species